UAGUACAACGGAGGCACCUGGGUUGUCGCCGUCCUCAAGGACGUGCACGCCCAAAGUGCUCUCUCAUAUCCAUCUCACCCCUUUGUGCAUCACCGCGUGAGGCCCUCCUCUUUUGACUUGCUCCGGAGAGGAAGGUUCACGUAUUUACNAGAACAACCCAUUAAUGCAUGUGUAGAAUGUCUUACAUUUUGCGUUCACGCGCAAUCAAUACAACUUUCAACAACGGAUCUCUUGGCUCUCGCAUCGAUGAAGAACGCAGCGAANUGCGAUACGUAAUGUGAAUUGCAGAAUUCAGUGAAUCAUCGAAUCUUUGAACGCACCUUGCGCCCCUUGGUAUUCCGAGGGGUGCACCCGUUUGAGUGUCGUGAAUACCCUCAACCUUCUUGGUUUAUUGACCGGGAAGGCUUGNACUUUGGAGGUUUCUGUUGCUGGCCUCGUUCGAAGCCAGCUCCUCCUAAAUGNAUUAGUGGGGUCUGUUGUGCCGAUCCUCGACGUGAUAAGUACGCUUCUACGUCUCGGUGUUGGCCUGGAAUCCUGCUUCCAACCGUCUUUGAAU
rnacentral:rRNA from 1 species